UUAUCUAUGCUCUUCUCUUCGUUUGGUACAAAAUUAGGAAACCCAUAACGGACUCAGAUAGAGCUCCGUUCCGUCCAAAAACCACUGUUCCACCCCAAUUUUUAACAUCUCGAUUUGCUGCGGAUAAAUUUUAUGCCUCGGAAUCUACAACAAGCAGCCAGUUAUUUGACCAAAAUAUCCCUUCUCAUUUACUCUAUUUUGUGAUAAAUUGAAUUAUUUUCUACCGACAAUUGAACACCAAAUUUGAAAUAAAAACCCUCAUCUCCUCAAUUAUUUCUUCAUCGCUGAAGACGACGGAGAGAACCCCACACACUUGGAAUUCUAGCAUUCGGAUAUGUUGCCUGUGAGGUCUGGUAGUCACGAACGUGACGCUGUGUCGCUGGUUGUGGAAGAGUAUCAGGAGGUCAAUCGUGUGAAACGGCUGUUGUUUAUAGCUAUUCUGGAAUGUAUGCGCGACUACAGGUCACUUCGUCAACGAAGAUUAAAUGUUCGGCCUUAUCGAAUAUUAGAACGUGUUCCGGCACAAGUCGCCCACGUAACGCGGCUGGUAGGCCUUACUGACGUUGAUUGUAUAAACAAUCUUAGAAUGGAUCGUAACACAUUUGGUCGAUUAUGCAUUCUACUGCGCGAGCGGACUAGCCUGAUUGACGGAAGGUGGGUUACCGUCGAAGAGCAGGUUGCAAUGUUCCUUUGUGUUUUGGCGCAUCAUAGCAAAAAUCGCAUUGUGGGCUUCAAUUUUCGUCGCCAUUAUGGAAAACAUGUGAAAUCCUUUAUUUGGUGUGAUGAUUACCAGAUCAGGACAAGAGGUGCUACUGAGAGGGUUACAUCGGGGGCUCGGGAAGUGUAUGUUGAUCGCCUACUCCAUAUCCACGUCGUCUUCAUGUUUAUGGCUGUUGUAAUAUUUUUAUUUGGGAUUGUAAUUGGCCGCCUACUUUAGCAACUUCUAUUUCUUACUAUCUGGUAGUUUUUGAAUGGAUUGUAAUUGACUAUUCUAUACUUUUGUUAUAUGUAGUAGUCACGCAGACAAUCUACUUGUUCUGAAUUCAAUUGUAGUAUGAUGUUAGUUUGAUGUUA